rnacentral:tRNA from 2 species
UCCGGGGUCGUCUAGCGGUAGGACGCCUGCCUCUGGAGCAGGAAAUCGAUGGUUCGAAUCCAUCCCCCGGAGCCA